UGGGGAAUAUUGGACAAUGGGCGAAAGCCUGAUCCAGCCAUGCCGCGUGUGUGAAGAAGGUCUUCGGAUUGUAAAGCAUUUUAAGUUGGGAGGAAGGGCAGUAAGCGAAUACCUUGCUGUUUUGACGUUACCGACAGAAUAAGCACCGGCUAACUCUGUGCCAGCAGCCGCGGUAAUACAGAGGGUGCAAGCGUUAAUCGGAAUUACUGGGCGUAAAGCGCGCGUAGGUGGUUCGUUAAGUUGAAUGUGAAAGCCCCGGGCUCAACCUGGGAACUGCAUCCAAAACUGGCGAGCUAGAGUAGGGCAGAGGGUGGUGGAAUUUCCUGUGUAACGGUGAAAUGCGUAGAUAUAGGAAGGAACACAAGUGGCGAAGGCGACCACCUGGGCUCAUACUGACACUGAGGUGCGAAAGCGUGGGGAGCAAACAGG
rnacentral:rRNA from 1 species